GACUUGGAGGAUUCAUCGGACCUCCCGAUGGCAUACUCUCAGUCAUUUUCCAAUCUUCUAACAAAGACAACACUCUUUGGCAGAUUUAGUCACACCCGGCCACAUCUUCCGGGGUAGGCAGCUUCUCGGAUUGUGCCUGCUCAGCUGCUUCAUGCACUUGUAAGUGAGGAACUGAAGCGGCCAUUUCUACCUCUUCGACUACCAUGGCUACGGAAGGUUCGGCUCUAUCAUCGGGGACUUGUGUUUCCAUUACUGCCAGUUCUGUAGGCGGACUAACAUAGUCAUGUAAUGGCGACAAGUCAUUGUCGCCUCCUUCAUUCAUAUGAGGACUACCGAGGUCCUCAUGUCCUUCUCCACCUUCAUUCACCCCACCAUUUCAUUUUUUCGGCUGCUCUAUCUCCAC
rnacentral:lncRNA from 1 species